GUCUGACCUGCCCACUGAAUAUUGUUUGAAGGGCCGCAGUAUUUUGACUGUGCAAAGGUAGCAUAAUCAUUAGUCUUUUAAUUGAAGGCUGGCAUGAAUGGUUGGAUGAGAUACAAGCUGUGUCAUAAAAAUUAAUAUUUGAAUUUACCCUUUUAGUCAAAAGGCUAAAAUAAUCUUAAAAGACGAGAAGACCCUAUAGAGCUUUAUAUAAUUAAUAUUUAAAUUAUUAAGAUUUUUAAAAUUUAAUUAUUAAAUUGUAUUUUGUUGGGGUGACAAUAAAAUUUAUAAAACUUUUAUUUUUGUUUAACAUUAAUUUAUGAUUAAAUGAUCCAGUUUUAUUGAUUAUAAAUUUAAGUUACCUUAGGGAUAACAGCGUAAUUUUUUUUGAGAGUUCUUAUCGACAAAAAAGAUUGCGACCUCGAUGUUGGAUUAAGAGUAAUUUUGGGUGUAGAAGUUCAAAGUUUAAGUCUGUUCGACUUUUAAAUUCUUACAU
rnacentral:rRNA from 1 species